rnacentral:rRNA from 1 species
ACGGGUGAGUAACACGUGGGCAACCUGCCCUUGAGACUGGGAUAACUUCGGGAAACCGGAGCUAAUACCGGAUAAUAUAAGGAACCUCCUGGUUCCUUAUUGAAAGAUGGUUUCGGCUAUCACUUAAGGACGGGCCCGCGGCGCAUUAGCUAGUUGGUGAGGUAACGGCUCACCAAGGCGACGAUGCGUAGCCGACCUGAGAGGGUGAUCGGCCACACUGGGACUGAGACACGGCCCAGACUCCUACGGGAGGCAGCAGUAGGGAAUCUUCCACAAUGGACGAAAGUCUGAUGGAGCAACGCCGCGUGAGUGAUGAAGGCCUUCGGGUCGUAAAGCUCUGUUGUUAGGGAAGAACAAGUGCGAGAGUAACUGCUCGCACCUUGACGGUACCUAACCAGAAAGCCACGGCUAACUACGUGCCAGCAGCCGCGGUAAUACGUAGGUGGCAAGCGUUAUCCGGAAUUAUUGGGCGUAAAGCGCGCGCAGGUGGUUUCUUAAGUCUGAUGUGAAAGCCCACGGCUCAACCGUGGAGGGUCAUUGGAAACUGGGGAACUUGAGUGCAGAAGAGGAAAGUGGAAUUCCAA